rnacentral:rRNA from 1 species
GAUGAACGCUGGCGGCGUGCCUAGUACAUGCAAGUCGAGCGAACAGAUGAGGAGCUUGCUCCUCUGACGUUAGCGGCGGACGGGUGAGUAACACGUGGAUAACCUACCUAUAAGACUGGGAUAACUUCGGGAAACCGGAGCUAAUACCGGAUAAUAUAUUGAACCGCAUGGUUCAAUAGUGAAAGACGGUUUUGCUGUCACUUAUAGAUGGAUCCGCGCCGCAUUAGCUAGUUGGUAAGGUAACGGCUUACCAAGGCAACGAUGCGUAGCCGACCUGAGAGGGUGAUCGGCCACACUGGAACUGAGACACGGUCCAGACUCCUACGGGAGGCAGCAGUAGGGAAUCUUCCGCAAUGGGCGAAAGCCUGACGGAGCAACGCCGCGUGAGUGAUGAAGGUCUUCGGAUCGUAAAACUCUGUUAUUAGGGAAGAACAAAUGUGUAAGUAACUAUGCACGUCUUGACGGUACCUAAUCAGAAAGCCACGGCUAACUACGUG